UGCGUAGGCGGGUUUUUAAGUCAGAGGUGAAAUCCUGGAGCUCAACUCCAGAACUGCCUUUGAUACUGGAAGUCUUGAGUAUGGCAGAGGUGAGUGGAACUGCGAGUGUAGAGGUGAAAUUCGUAGAUAUUCGCAAGAACACCAGUGGCGAAGGCGGCUCACUGGGCCAUUACCGACGCUGAGGCACGAAAGCGUGGGAGCAAACA
rnacentral:rRNA from 1 species